AACGACACCGUUUUCCUGCCCUAUACCGUCAAAAGCGCGGGAAGAUUUUCCGCCAUUCUUCAACUACACAACUCAACUGAACCAACUCUUUCUUAGAUACCAAAACCCCACACACCACACCCUCUCCAAUUCCCUCACCAUGGACACUGAAGGCUUAUCGGUAAUCUGCGCUGGCAUUGGAACCAUCGAAGCCGACGAUGAAGGCAACCAAAUUGGUUACAUCAAAGGCCAAUACUGUCUCGAUAAUCUGAAAGACUUGCUACGUUUUCUGAGGCGCGACGAUCCCCAAACGCGCGAUGUCUUCAAGCAAGUCUGCAAAUGGAACAUCGUUUCCAAGUACUUAAUCCCUACCAUCGAGCUCUAUCACGAAGAUCGCAACUUGCUACUCAAUGCAGUGAAGGUUCUGGUGUUCCUUACAAUGCCGAUCGAGCCUUCUUCCACGGAUAUAUCUCAGCAGUUGGAGUAUCUUUGGGGUUUGAAGUCUGCUUUGACUAACAGUGAUGUUGCUGCAGUGAUAGUGUCGUUUCUAGAGAGACCGCUCGAGAAUUUGGAACGUAAUGCGUUCAGUGAGGAUGAUUGGAAAUUGGUACAGCUAGUGCUGACGUUAUUUAGAAAUAUCCUAGCUGUCCAAGAGAUUCCGAUGCACCAGAAGUCAGGGGGACUUGCUACUCAGUUGUUAUCGCUGAGAGACCGGUUUCUGGAACUUUUGUUUCGUGAAAAUGUAAUGGAUAUAAUCCUGGUUAUAUCUCAAUACGUUGGUAGUUCCAAUGUUUAUCUCCGUCAGGAUAACUUGCUUCUACUGGAAAUUUUUCAUUACAUUUUGAUGGGUCAGGACCCGGAGUUAAUUGUUUGGGCACAUUUGAAGGAAUCAAAGGCGGAUGAACAACCCCAAACUUCUCUUUAUAGUCUCCAGUUCAUUUUGGAGGAGGAAAAGAAGAGAAGAAAUAUUUGUAAGCUCAACAAUCUGAGUCGACAUUCACAAUUUAGUCCAACAUUUGCUCGGCUUACCAUGGAUGGUUGUAAGGCAGUAAUUAAGGGAAACCCUAAUUCUUCUCAUAAUGUGCUGCUUAAAGCACAAAAUGUCGCUCGAGGUCCUACCAAAAGAACUGUGUGGGAUCAUCCAAGGUUACCUUCAACGGAGGAUAAGAUAUUGGAGUUGCUUCACGGAUUUGUGAAUCAGUUUCUUUCUGGGGGAUACAAUGUUUUGAUGCAAUCCAUUCGUGAAGAUAUUGAAAAAGAACAUCCCUCAAUUCAAAAAAGUGAUGUUGCUGUUUUCUUUCAAGUGGCUGAAUUUGUCACUUCAUUUCAGUUUUACAAGUAUUCAGCUUCUAAGACCAAGGAGGAAGGGGACACAUUUGAGACUUUGAGUGAUAAAGAUGCAGUCACCUCAGAUUUCAGUGGUCAAAUAUGUGGGCCAAUUGCAGCAUCCUUGAAUGAGACAAUGUUUCAAUUGAUCAUUUCAAAGUGGCGGCAUGCCUAUGAUGGUCUAAAGGAAACAAAUGACUAUCAGUUUCUAUCUGCAGCUGGUUCUCUUUUGAAAAACAUGAUUCGCAUGCUGGAUUUGAUACUUAAAUUGUUGCCUGAAAACUCAAAGGAACCUCAAACAGCUCGCAUACUUCUGUACAAGUUAUUUUAUGAUCAGACCGAGGAAGGGAUGACUCAGUUCCUAUUGAAUUUGAUUAAAACCUUUGACAUCCACAAGCAACCCAAAAGUAAUCUUUCAGAUUUAGUGGAAAUCAUUCACAAGGUUGUAAGGCUGAUGGAUAAUCUUCAGUCUCGAGGAGCAUUGAGGGUGUCUAGAAAAUCAAGGAAAGUGAAAAAAAAUAAAAUUCCAGAAGGAACAGAAUCAGGGGACAAACUGUCUGGAGAUCAUUCUUGCAUUCAAAAUGAAACUGGCAUCUCAACUGCCAAUCAAUCAGCUGAAAAUCAGCCACUGCUGGAAGUACUACCAAAUGCAAAUUCCACUGGGGAAGAUGUUGUCCCUGAUGAUAAUGAACAUGAAAAUCGUGUUGAGGAAGAUGAGAACUCCCAAGUUGGGUUAGAACCAAUGGGAGCCACAAAUUCUGAACAUGUUAAUGAGGAUAUGUUGGAUGGUACUAAUAAUUUUUCGGAAGAUGAGCAACUACAUGCAUAUAAUGAAGUUGAUUUCAAGGUUUCAACGCUGGUCUCUGCCUUUGCAAAUCACAAUAUCAUUCAGAAAUUAUGUUGGUUGCUCAAGUUUUACAAGAGCAAUUCCCUGGCUACAAAUUAUUACAUAAUAAGCAUGCUGCGGAGAAUAAGUGAUGACCUUGAACUCCAUCCUAUGCUUUACCAGUUAUCACUGCUCACAACUUUUUAUGACAUCCUGAUUGAACAAAAGUCAUGCCCCUGCAAGGAUUAUGCAGGUAUAGUUGAUUUCCUGACUUGUUUGGUCAGAAAGAUGCUAAAGAAAAUGAAAAAGCAACCUCUCUUGUUUGUGGAACUCCUUUUCUGGAAGACUCGAAGGGAAUGUCAUUACAUCAAUGCUGAAUAUUUGUUGAGCGAGCUUGGUCAUUUGAAGAAAGAAAGUGCCAAUUGGAAUAACUCUCAAGGAGAUGAAGAAAUUGGUUCAUCCCCAACAAAGGUGUGGACACGUAGAAGCAUAGCUGAUGCACUUGGUGAGGAUGAAGCUGAUGUUGUGAUUACUCAUGACUCAAGAUGUCAACAAGACAAGCUUGAGGAUGUUAUUGAAGGUUUUGCAUCUACCUCUGGCAGUAACAGUGGCAAAGAUGUUCAUAAUGGGGAGCAAUUGAUGGAAGAUGAAUCUCAACUGGCUCCAAGGAGAAGGAAGAAACUUGUUCUUGAUGGUGAUUUGGAAAGACAAAUCAAGGAUCUCUAUGAGAAAUUCAAAGAUGAACCACAUUGCAGUCGUCAUAUAGCUGAAGUGCUAGAUCCAGAUGGUAAAAUUUCACCAGCUCAAAUUUCCAAUAUGUUAAAAAGAUUAGGACUAGCAGUUGCACCUAAGAGAAAGAUGGGUGAUGCUGAUGCUGAAGGACAUUUGUCUACUAGCCCUAAUCAGUUAGAUGGUGACAAAAGAGCUACCAAUCAUAAAUCAGUGAAUUUGGAGGGAAGCCUGUUGGUUCAGCACCUGCAAAAAAAGAAGAGAGUCCAGGCUUUCAAUGAAGCUCAAGAAGCUCUGAUCAAAGUUCUAUAUGAGCAAUUCAAGGAUCACAGAAGAUGCAGUUACAUGAUAGCCAAUGCACUGGAUGAGGAUGGUAAAAUCACUGCUGCUCAAGUCUCUCGAAAACUUAAGCAACUUGGUUUAUCUCUUCCUCAGAAGAGUUCUGGAGGCAAAAUGCACCCAAAGGAUGCAGAUCUCAUGGAUCUUUCAAAUGAUAGGAUUAAUGAAUCUGAUGAUGAGACAUUGGUAACAUUGAUAAAAAGUUUAGGAAGAAAAUGGAGAAUGACAAAUUAUCAAGGGGACAGUUACAUGGACAAAUCAGUGAGGAUAGAUUGUCAAUAGAUGAUUCUGAUGAUGAAAUGCUCAGCUCUGUUCUCAAGGAAAAAAUAAAUAGCAAAGUAUCAACUGAACAAUUACUUGAACCCAUCAAUGUGGAUGCAUUGUCAAGAGAUGAUUCUGAUGAUGAAAUGCCCAGCUCUGCUCUCAAAAGAACUAGAAGAUCCUCUCUUAAUUCAAAGCAAGUUGAGCUUGAAAAUAUCCAAAUUCAGGAGAGAAUAAUGGGCGAUGAUUCUUUCAAUGAAGGCAAAACAGAUGCUUUGGAAAGGGAUAAUCGUGUUGAUUCUAUGAAUUCCUCCCAAAUAGAACAUCAGCAAAUGGAUGACUUAGCAGAUUCAGAAGAUGAAGUGGCUGUUAGUGGAUUUCCUGACAAUGCCAGAUCUAGAAGGCAGCUGAGAAUGGUGAUUGAUCCUGAGGAUGAUGACUGAAGGAGAAAGCAUGAUUAGGGUCCAGGUUUCUUUAUUUUUGCAUAUAUUUUCUACUAAACUGAAGGAGAAAGCAUUGAUUAGUGAGUGUUGCAGAGACAAGAUAUGAGGAUGUUUACAAGUUGCCAUCCUUAUUACAACAUAUCAGUUCUAUAUUUAUAGAGUAUAAUUAUAACUGUUAUAAACUUUCAUUAAAUCUUGGACGUUGAUGAUUUUAGUCUUUGAUUUUUAUUAUUGAUAGCUUUGUCUUCAAAUUUUAA